AUUGAACGCUGGCGGCAGGCUUAACACAUGCAAGUCGAGCGGAGAUGAGGUGCUUGCACCUUAUCUUAGCGGCGGACGGGUGAGUAAUGCUUAGGAAUCUGCCUAUUAGUGGGGGACAACAUUCCGAAAGGAAUGCUAAUACCGCAUACGCCCUACGGGGGAAAGCAGGGGAUCUUCGGACCUUGCGCUAAUAGAUGAGCCUAAGUCGGAUUAGCUAGUUGGUGGGGUAAAGGCCUACCAAGGCGACGAUCUGUAGCGGGUCUGAGAGGAUGAUCCGCCACACUGGGACUGAGACACGGCCCAGACUCCUACGGGAGGCAGCAGUGGGGAAUAUUGGACAAUGGGCGGAAGCCUGAUCCAGCCAUGCCGCGUGUGUGAAGAAGGCCUUUUGGUUGUAAAGCACUUUAAGCGAGGAGGAGGCUACCUGGAUUAAUACUCUAGGAUAGUGGACGUUACUCGCAGAAUAAGCACCGGCUAACUCUGUGCCAGCCGCCGCCGUAA
rnacentral:rRNA from 1 species